UGCUGCUUCACCGCCUCCUCCUCCUGUUCUUCCGCCUCCUUCUCUGCUGCCAUCACCACCAACGCUACCACCCUGCCCUCAUCUUGGACUGGGGGCUAGGAGGAGGUUUGACCUCUAAGAUGCUAAAGUUUUCUUGUAUCCAAAUCCAGUGCGGCAUCAGCUAUGUGGACUCCCUGGCCUUGGGUGACGUCAGAGCAGGUCCCUUCUCCUUCCCUAGGGAUACUUGUUUCCUGUUCUGUGAAGUAGAAUUAGAGAAGUCAUUGGGUCCUGAGAAUUUUUCUCUACAGGAUUGUGAUCAGUGAGCCCCCUGACCACUCCAGGGGACAGAUUCAGUGAGGCACCACAGGGUUAGCAUUAUGGGAUUUCACAUGAUUCUCAGUGACUUGAAGAACUGAAUGGGGAGUCUGCUCAUCAAGUUUGACAUUGUGCAGGGUUGCCAAUAGCUCAGAAAUCAGGAAUAGAAUUCUUAAAAUUGACCCUGACAAAAUGAGGGAGAUGAACCAUCACAGCCAGAAUGAUGUUCAGAGGGGAUGAACACAAGUUAGCAUGCACAGAGAUCAAAACCCAGAACUAAUAUACUAAUAUGGCACAUGGUACAAAAGAGAUUGGCAAUGAUUAACUUGACAGAUGUAUAGUUUUUAAAAAAAGAACAAUGGGAAAGAGGGUGUACAAGUUGAAUGAGUCCACAGUUGUAGAACUGGUUUUCUCCCUUUUUCACCCCUUCUUCCCUCCCUUCUUUCCUUUCUUUUUUUUUUCCAAAACUAAUGGGGAAUACUAGUAUAUAGUAACAAAAAUAGAGCAUGGAGGAGCUGGAAGGUAGUCAGAGUGUAUCAGAACUAGAAGUAACCCCAGAGUUAUCUAGUCCAAUCCACCUAUUUUAUAAUUGGGCAAAUGGGUCCCAAAAAAACCCCAUCUUAGUUAGUGAUAGAAACAGAGCUGGAAGGCAACCCAAUAACAGAUGACCUUCCCUACAGUCCUGCUCCACUUGUUCCUUUCUACCAGCCAUUGGUUAUAUCUUCCAAAGCAUUAAUGUAUCUGCCCUUGGUUAGUACAUUUUUAACAUAUGUGGAAAAGUAGAGAGG
rnacentral:lncRNA from 1 species